CCAAGAGAUGCGGUGGGGGGAGCGCCCAAUCUCUGUCCAUCCUUUUGGCGUAAAGCUCGAGCCGCUUCUGGUCCAGAGGUCCUGACCAGACGGGAGGGCACGGCUUCCGCCUCGAUUAAUUCUCCUACGGAAUUAUCCUACAAAGAUGGACAGAGCUCCCUCCUCCUUGCUUUUUUCUUUCUUUUUUAAAUUAGCCCUUUGCAGAGCUCCCCUGUCUCGUACUUCUAAGCUUCUUGUUACCGGGAACGAAUGCCUAGAGACACCUUGCUCCGAGACCGUGGAGGGAGGCCCUCAGGGACUAAUACUUCGUCCAAACCAAAGCUGGAGAAUCUAAGCUCUGAACAGAAGAACAGAGAUCGCAUCAGUGAACCUGCCUGGCUUUGGUGAUUGGGUAAAGUCUCAUAAAACACUCAGCUGGAUGACAGAGCAGCAGCAACAGAUGAUGAUGAGAGAAAUGGGGUUUCUAUUGCAUAGGGCGCAACUGGAUAUUUCCUCCACGCUCUGUUGCUGGGACCUGGCAAACGAUGUUUCCUGGCACUCCAGAGCGGCAAGUCUCGGCAGCGAGGUCAAAUCCAUUUUUGGAGCCAAACACCAGCAUUCCUUUACAGCUGAGUUCUCCAACCUCCAAGGAAGCUCUUGCCUGUCUAGAGUGACCUCUGCUGGCAACCAAAGAGAGUGGCCCAAUUGUGCAGCCUAUGGAAGAAUCACCCUGGAAAUAUCGGACUCCUGUCACAACAAAAGCCUCUUGAUUCUUGCCCUCACUAAUUGCCCUGUGGUUGAUGAUGACAGGCAUGGCUGACAACAUGAGCAAGCUGAAGUUAUUCCACUUGCUAAUUAGAACUGUGAAGUAUGUUUUCGUGUAAAACAUGAAGCCAUGUUUUGAAUACGUUUGGAUGUGCCCAGCCUCCUGGCCUUGGCAGUGGUUGUCCCAAAUUAGAAUGACAUGUCUACCAGGGGUACAGCCUGCCUGGCUACAGGAUGCCAGGGAGAUAUUUACUCUUUUGAGGGGCCUUAAUACUUUAUAGGAGAAAUAAUGGUAAUAACCUACAAAGUGUUUUGAGAUCUUUGGAUGAUUGGCAAUACAGGUAUGUAUGUUCAAGGGACAAUGUCUGGACUAUAUGGCUUGAUAAGUUGUUAAUAACUAGGGGAAAGGGUCCAUAUGGGAUUGCUAAGGUGAAGAAAGGGAAAACAAAUGUGAAUGUCUGAAAGGUUAUGAUUUAUAAACAUUUUGCAGCACUUGCACUAUGCGUUAUCUUAUUUUGUCUCACUUUCACAACUCUGUUCUGACAACAAUAUCAUUAUCCCAUUUUUCCAGAUGAGGACAUUUAGUCACAAACAGGUGCUACCACAUGUCAGAGAUUACACAGUCACUUAGAAAGGCUGGCACUGGAAUCAUCUCUUUGGCCAGAAGUCCUGUUUUUAUUUCACUGGGUCUCUUGGGUCAGCCCUCCAAAUCUCAAGCUGGAGAAGUAAAAGAUAACACCUUUAUUUCUCGUUUUCACUCACCUCUCACUGCCAGUCCAUCGGCAAGAGGCAACCACACAUCUCUGCACUGCCCCAUUGCUGCAGCGUGUGGUUUCUCCCUGUGGCAAAAAUCUCAAGUCUGUCCAUCCCCACAGCCCCUCUGUCUACUUCAGCUCACUAUCCUAGGCCAAGGUCACUUAGAUGGUAGCAACAGGCUUCUGAAAUUGUUGUUAAAUAUUUAUUUGUUUAGGUUUGUCAUCUACCUUUCCCCCACAACAUUGUAAGCUCCAUGUCCUUUUAAACUCACAAAGGCACCGCCAGGGCCUUAGCCCAUGUGAAAAUUGAUAAAGGGCAGCCUCACUCACCUGGAGUUGGGAGGCCUGCAGGGGGAGCUCUCAUGCCCUGCCCCUCCUGGUCAAUUGCAGACUCCACAGGAGGCAGAGACAGUUUACAGACCAGACUGUUUUGGCUACUUUACCACCCAGUAGGAGGAGGGAAGUGUUUCUGCUUCCCCAGCAACAUCCCAGCAACGCCUAGCCAAUGAGAGACUGUUACAACUCAGUCAACGAGCAGCCACAGAGGUAUGGGACCCUUCUUCCUCCAAUGGACUUUUUGCUUGGAACAGUCCCCCAACUCCCCCUUUCUUCUGCAAAAGUGACUCCUCUCCUUUAUUCUACGGAUGUGUUGUAGUUUUGCCAUUGCUGGCCUGUGCCGUGUUGCAAUUCUCUGCUGUUGAUCGAAUAAACCUAUUAUGCUGGUAAAAUAACUGACAGCUUUAUUUUUAAGGUUAACACCCAUAAUGCACAUUCAAUAUAUGUUUGUGGGAUGAAUGAAUUAAA